rnacentral:lncRNA from 1 species
UCACAGCUGAAAACCUGUGGCCCUGAAAAAUUUGCACAUUCAUAUCGUAAUGCUGUCUUCACAUUAAUAAAAGGACAUACCUUCUCACCUUAAGUUACAGUGUGGUAUUACCAGCAGCAUAGUCAUUCAGUCCUUAUUCCACCUUUUUCCAAGAGAAAGCAAAAAAUAACAACUGGAGUUAACAGAAUGCAGAUGAAAGUAUCAGAGGAGUCUGGAAAUCAUUCUUCAUGCCUGUAAGGAACUCAGAAAAGAUACUUCCUGUCUUAAAAUAGUCAAAGAGGGAGAAGAGAGAGAAAGGUCUUUUAUCUCCGGAAACAAGCCAUCUGCUUCCUUCAGCUGGGCUACCAACCAGAGAAUCAUCGUGGAAGCAGUGGUCACAUUUGUUGGCUUUGUUUUGUCCAUGUCCACAGGUUAUGCUUUUGUCUAAUAAAAGCCUUAUCGUUCAGAAA